rnacentral:rRNA from 1 species
GACGAACGCUGGCGGCGUGCUUAACACAUGCAAGUCGAACGGAAAGGCCCUUCGGGGUACUCGAGUGGCGAACGGGUGAGUAACACGUGGGUGAUCUGCCCUGCACUUUGGGAUAAGCCUGGGAAACUGGGUCUAAUACCGAAUAUGAUCAUCGGCUUCAUGGUCGGUGGUGGAAAGCUUUUGCGGUGUGGGAUGGGCCCGCGGCCUAUCAGCUUGUUGGUGGGGUAAUGGCCUACCAAGGCGACGACGGGUAGCCGGCCUGAGAGGGUGACCGGCCACACUGGGACUGAGAUACGGCCCAGACUCCUACGGGAGGCAGCAGUGGGGAAUAUUGCACAAUGGGCGCAAGCCUGAUGCAGCGACGCCGCGUGAGGGAUGACGGCCUUCGGGUUGUAAACCUCUUUCAGCACAGACGAAGCGCAAGUGACGGUAUGUGCAGAAGAAGGACCGGCCAACUACGUGCCAGCCGCCGCCGUAACAC